UACGAAGGGUGCAAGCGUUACUCGGAAUUACUGGGCGUAAAGCGUGCGUAGGUGGUGAGUUAAGUCUGUCGUGAAAUCCCGCGGCUCAACCGCAGACGGUCGUGGGAAACUGGAUGGCUAGAGUGCGGGAGAGGAGAGUGGAAUUCCCGGUGUAGCGGUGAAAUGCGCAGAUAUCGGGAAGAACACCCGUGGCGAAGGCGGCUCUCUGGAACGCAACUGACGCUGAGACGCGAAAGCGUGGGGAGCAAACAGG
rnacentral:rRNA from 1 species